GACGAACGCUGGCGGCGUGCUUAACACAUGCAAGUCGAACGGUGAAGCGCCUUCCUUUUUGGUGGGUGUGGAUGAGUGGCGAACGGGUGCGUAACACGUGAGUAACCUGCCCCCUUCUUCUGGAUAACCGCAUGAAAGUGUGGCUAAUACGGGAUAUUCUGGGUCUGUCGCAUGAUGGGUCUGGGAAAGAUAUUGUUUCGGUGGGGGAUGGGCUCGCGGCCUAUCAGCUUGUUGGGGGGGUGAUGGCCUACCAAGGCGGUGACGGGUAGCCGGCCUGAGAGGGUGGACGGUCACACUGGGACUGAGACACGGCCCAGACUCCUACGGGAGGCAGCAGUGGGGAAUAUUGCACAAUGGGCGCAAGCCUGAUGCAGCGACGCCGCGUGAGGGAUGGAGGCCUUCGGGUUGUGAACCUCUUUCGCCAGUGAAGCAGGCCUGCCUCGUUUGUGGGUGGGUUGACGGUAGCUGGAUAAGAAGCGCCGGCUAACUACGUG
rnacentral:rRNA from 1 species